rnacentral:rRNA from 1 species
UACGUAGGGUGCGAGCGUUGACCGGAAUUAUUGGGCGUAAAGAGCUUGUAGGCGGUUUGUCGCGUCUGCCGUGAAAAUCCGGGGCUCAACCCCGGACUUGCGGUGGGUACGGGCAGACUAGAGUGUGGUAGGGGAGACUGGAAUUCCUGGUGUAGCGGUGAAAUGCGCAGAUAUCAGGAGGAACACCGAUGGCGAAGGCAGGUCUCUGGGCCACUACUGACGCUGAGAAGCGAAAGCGUGGGGAGCGAACAGG